GCCAAACUUUCAGAAUGACUCUUUCACAAAUGAACUGUAUGCAACUUUGCAAACACCUGCUCUGCACAGAAGGAAUUAUUUUGAUACCCAAUUUGAAGCUUCAAAAGUCAGGAUGUGUCUACAUAAACAGGUGUGGAUGAGUGCGUGUGCUUUGCAUAUUCUCAAAGGCAGGUGGAAGAGGAGCACAUCUGCCUGCACACAGCUGGGCUACUUAUUCUUAGAUGUGUUCAAACCAUCUCCUUUCUCUUUUCUCCUCCAAAGAAGGCUGAUCAAAUCACUCAGUCAAUGCUAGGAAAAUGAAGACUGGGUACCAGGGAUGAGAGCCCAGCAAGAGAAUCUGAGCAAUCCCAGGACUGACAGCCUCACAGCUUGGGAAUACAGGGACCAGGGAACACCCCACCCUGAUAUCAGUGGUACGACAGUUACAGCUACUGCAAAUAUCAAGGCAUUGCUGAGCUGCAGACACAGCUGCAUCAUGUUUCAGUAUCACACAGUUGUAGACAGGAAGAUUGAUCUGCGAUUUUCUGGUUUUCUGAGGGUUUACUGCAGCUGGAAUUCUGUCAAGAAAGAUAUUAGCCUGGACUUAUUUCUGUUCAGCAAGGGGAGGAAUUAGGGAGAUCUUUUUAUUUUGCCUGCUGACUUGAAGAAGCAUCCGGAAAUAUAUUUCCGUUUCAGUUUCUGCUCAUCGGGAGGAGGAUGAGAGGGGAAAGGGAAGAAAAGGCAAACAACUCCCCAUGUGUAUUUCCUGGUAGUGUUGCCUGAACUGGUACAUGUCAAGCCCAGAAAUACAGAAGACAGAGUACACCAGAACUGCCUACAAACUAUCACCUUUACCACUUUUCCAGCAGCAUUGCCAACGUUACAUUUCUCUGCCCAGAAUGUUCCUGAGCCACCAAGACUGGGAAAACCUGUGGGAAAAGUAAAGAAAGCCCAAGCUACCUUAUUUGCCCACAACAGUCCUUAUGGGCAGCACCUGUAUGUGUGCCUCUCCUCCUCCUUCCCCUGCCCUGAGACGCUGAGGGUUGGUGCUCAUGGGUCUGCAGGGACCUACUGAAUGGGCACUGCAGAGAAACUUCUGGGUGUGGGAUAAAUGCAGACUGUUCAGAGAAGAUCCCUCCUGGUACAGAUUUCAGAAAGUAUGCUUUCUUCAUCAGUAAACAAUGAGUCAUUGGCUGUCACAAGGGAGAAAAUGAGAUUACAAAGGAUGUAUAAGUAAAUAAAUUAGUUCCCGUUAGUCAUGGCAACAGCUUAGUGUUUCCACCCAAGUGUUUUAUUCCAAUUCAUCUUUCUGUCUUUAUUUUUGUAAUAUUGUUACUCUUUUACUUUGGAGAAUAAAAUUCUAAUAAGAUUCUCUUGGAAAUACAGAUUUUAAAAAUGCAGUUCUUGUGUUAGACUACUUUUGAGGACACAGUCUUUAUUUUUUGACACUUAUGUUCAGGGAUGGAGCUGUGGGCAAAGAAAUGAAGUUGUACCAUCCUCUGCCCUGAUGCUGCUGCAGGUCUUUCAUGUGACAUUUGUCACUUGACCUGCAAAAGGAGCUUUCACCAUACAGGCAUCUGUUGCUCAGCUCCCUGCCCCAAAUAUGGGUGCAUUACACUCUGUUUUACAGAUGCCAUCCAAUAGACCUCUGGAGGUUUGCUGACCCCUGUCCCCAGGCACUGAUGUCAGAAUACUGUGAUCCAAAGAACUGUGUCUCUCUGGGAAAAUGUCUGUUUUAAAACAUGCUUCUGCUCCAGUCCUUUCCUUUACAUCUGCAUCUCAGAGUAGUUGCUGAAAACUUCUUGUGUUUUCCCCAGAUCCUGCAAAGAUGGAAAUCUUGCAGAAGAGCUGUGUUUUCUUCCUUGGUUUAAAUUUUUUUUUUUCAAAUACCUUGUUUUGCUAUAGAUGUUAAAUAGUCUACAAAUUAUAUAAGAUGUUCUAAAUAUGUGUGCUUAUUACAACUCCUAUAAUCUCAGUCCAUACCAAAAGUGUGCCCUCCAAAGUAGGGGAAGUUGGAAAUUGUCAGAGUCACAUCUUGGUUUAAAUGUCACAGUUCUCAUCUAUAGGCAAAAGUGGUUGUUACUGUUUUCACUAAGAUAUGAAAAAGACUUCAGAAACUAUUCCAGAGAACUGAAUUACUUAAGUAUUACCAUUAUUCACAGAUUUCCCCAAAACUACUUUCUGACUGGUUUUGUCUCUUAUUAUAAGAUGUAGGAGGAAUUUAGGGAGAUGGCGCAUUUUCUGGUACAUUCUUCAAUACAUGAAACAAAGAAAAUCACUUCUUUUAAAAUAUUACCAAAAAGCAUGUCUCUCCCUCUCUGAGUACAAGUGUUUUUAUAUCUGCAGAUGUGUUAAAUAUAUCUCUUCUAAUUGUAAAAUUCACUUCAAGCUAUAAAGGUGACGGCACUGUCUUGGGGCAGCUGCUCGGGAGUGACUUGGGAGCCACUCAGCAGGACUACAGAAAAAUGCUCAUUGGCAGCAUCAGCAAUAGAAAUCUCUUCAUACUAUGAAUGAAUCAGUUUGACUUGGUUUGAAUUUUUCGGUCAGUGGACCAAAAUUGUACCUGGACCUUUAGUUCCACUGUGUUUCCUGUAUCUUCAAUGACAGUACUUUAUGGCCUUUAUUGUCUUCUUGUCUAAAGACAUUUAAUAGCCAUUACCCAGCAGAGGUGAUGACUGAGGGAAGGAGAGGAGGGAAAGCAGUGUGGAAGGGGCUUUAGCCCCUGUAUGCACCAGCAGGUGCUGCAAGGUUUGUGAAUGUAUCAGGUAGACAGCCUGGAGCCACCUCUUCCCUGCUGUUUAUACAAGGACUCUUCUUAUUCCUGGUCUUGCAAACAUGUUUAGGCUGCAAUAAAUUGAAACUUCCCAGUCAAAUUCUCAAGGCUCUCAAAACUUGGAGAUAAUGUUUCUAAAAAUUUAAAAUAGGGGACUUCACAGAUUAUUCAUGCAGUCAACUUGAAAGGUUGUGGGAUUUGUUCCAGUACAGCAGAGAAUUUUUUCAUUAUUGGUGGUAGCAAUAAUCAUAAGCUGAGGCCUGUGAUUCAGUUUAUGGUGGUCUUAAUUUAUGAUGGAAGACUUUAUUUUUAACAACAAAAGUGAGUGGAUAACAAAAUUCUGCUAAAGGUAAUUAACUCCACAGAUGCAGGGCUGAAGGCUGCCCUAAAGAGUGAAAAAAACCCCAAACAAAUCUAUAUGGGUGAUGGAUUUUAUCCUCUUUCUUUUCAGCAGGUUAACUUUAAAGUAUCUUUUUUAAAAUUGACAGUCUUAAUGAAACAAUUUAAAUACUACAAAACUAUGUUUAGUUCCACUUAUUGAUGUUGUCAAGGUCAUUUCUACGUGAAACCUGAACAAGAACAGGUCAGGUGGAGCAAUGUGUGGGUGAAAGCACUUCCUCUACACAAAGUAUAGCAAGACAGAUUGUAUGUAAACAAAUACUGAUUCAUUGUCUUGUCUUUGAAUGAAAAGGACAAAUUUGUUUCUAAAUUAUCCAUCUUCACUUCUGACUGGAGAACUGAUUCUCUGAUGCUGGACUGAAUAAAUCACAGCUUGUGCUCUGUUAUUUUGACUUCUGCUUUUAUUUAGAGGGUUUUUUUCUUUCAAGAAUGGAAA